UACAGAGGUCUCAAGCGUUGUUCGGAUUCAUUGGGCGUAAAGGGUGCGUAGGCGGCGCGGUAAGUCGGGUGUGAAAUCUCGGAGCUUAACUCCGAAACUGCAUCCGAUACUGCCGUGCUUGAGGACUGGAGAGGAGACUGGAAUUUACGGUGUAGCGGUGAAAUGCGUAGAUAUCGUAAGGAAGACCAGUGGCGAAGGCGGGUCUCUGGACAGUUCCUGACGCUGAGGCACGGAAGGCCCAGGGGGAGCAAAACGGG
rnacentral:rRNA from 1 species